rnacentral:rRNA from 1 species
UACGAAGGGAGCUAGCGUUGUUCGGAAUCACUGGGCGUAAAGCGCACGUAGGCGGAUGUGUCAGUCAGGGGUGAAAUCCCGGAGCUCAACUUCGGAACUGCCCUUGAUACAGCACGUCUUGAGUCCGGAAGAGGAGAGUGGAAUUCCUGGUGUAGCGGUGAAAUGCGCAGAUAUCAGGAAGAACACCAAUGGCGAAGGCAGCUCUCUGGGACGGUACUGACGCUGAGACGCGAAAGCGUGGGGAGCGAACAGG